rnacentral:rRNA from 2 species
GUCUCCUGAAGGAACGUUGAAGACGACGACGUUGAUAGGUCGGGUGUGUAAGUGUAGCGAUACAUUGAGCUAACCGGUACUAAUGAACCGUGAGGCUUAACCUUACAACGCCGAAG